GACGAACGCUGGCGGCGUGCUUAACACAUGCAAGUCGAACGGAAAGGCCCUGCUUUUGUGGGGUGCUCGAGUGGCGAACGGGUGAGUAACACGUGAGUAACCUGCCCUUGACUUUGGGAUAACUUCAGGAAACUGGGGCUAAUACCGGAUAGGAGCUCCUGCUGCAUGGUGGGGGUUGGAAAGUUUCGGCGGUUGGGGAUGGACUCGCGGCUCAUCAGCUUGUUGGUGGGGUAGUGGCUUACCAAGGCUUUGACGGGUAGCCGGCCUGAGAGGGUGACCGGCCACAUUGGGACUGAGAUACGGCCCAGACUCCUACGGGAGGCAGCAGUGGGGAAUAGUGCACGAUGGGCGGAAGCCUGAUGCAGCAACGCCGCGUGCGGGAUGACGGCCUUCGGGUUGGAAACCGCUUGCGCCUGUGACGAAGCGUGAGUGACGGUAAUGGGUAAAGAAGCACCGGCUAACUACGUG
rnacentral:rRNA from 1 species